CCCCAUGCCUCCCCCAUCCUCCCCCAUGCCUCCCCCAUCCUCCCCCAUGCCUCCCCCAUCCCCCCACAGUGAUAUCCCAGUCCCAGCAGCACCACCCAGACGUACAGAGCCUGCCCAAUCCCUCUCUAGUGUUUAACCUUUCCCACCCAGGGUUCACUGGCCACGUCCAGAUGAUCAACUCUCCACCAUACAGUGGUAUCACUCUGCCUACAAGCCUUUGCCAGGUGAUGCAAUUUCCAGCAUUAGAUGACAACCAAGCUCUAACAGUAACCAAUCAGAAUGGAGACAUUUCAUCAUCAAGAACUCCUGCAGGAACCCUUGAAUUUGAUCUCCAUAGUGGAUCCCAGGACUUGCAUGGCAAUCCAGUGAGAGUCAUGCAAGAUGACAGCUUCCUACACGUCAAUGCUGCAGAUCGCUGUCCGAGCCAGCUGUCCUGUAUCUACACCGAGGGCUGACAUCUCCCCUGUCUUAGAGGAAAAUAUGUAUCAGAAAAGAAAGGAUUUGUCUUCUGAAGAUAACCAUUGC